GACGAACGCUGGCGGCGUGCCUAAUACAUGCAAGUAGAACGCACAGUUUAUACCGUAGCUUGCUACACCAUAGACUGUGAGUUGCGAACGGGUGAGUAACGCGUAGGUAACCUGCCUGGUAGCGGGGGAUAACUAUUGGAAACGAUAGCUAAUACCGCAUAAUAUUGAUUAUUGCAUGAUAAUUGAUUGAAAGAUGCUAUUGCAUCACUACUAGAUGGCUCUGCGUUGUAUUAGCUAGUAGGUGAGGUAACGGCUCACCUAGGCGACGAUACAUAGCCGACCUGAGAGGGUGAUCGGCCACACUGGGACUGAGACACGGCCCAGACUCCUACAGGAGGCAGCAGUAGGGAAUCUUCGGCAAUGGACGAAAGUCUGACCGAGCAACGCCGCGUGAGUGAAGAAGGUUGUCGGAUCGUAAAGCUCUGUUGUAAGAGAAGAACGGGUGUGAGAGUGGAAAGUUCACACUGUGACGGUAUCUUACCAGAAAGGGACGGCUAACUACGUG
rnacentral:rRNA from 1 species